rnacentral:rRNA from 1 species
GAUGAACGCUGGCGGCGUGCCUAAUACAUGCAAGUCGAGCGAAUGGAUUAAGAGCUUGCUCUUAUGAGGUUAGCGGCGGACGGGUGAGUAACACGUGGGUAACCUGCCCAUAAGACUGGGAUAACUCCGGGAAACCGGGGCUAAUACCGGAUAACAUUUUGAACCGCAUGGUUCGAAAUUGAAAGGCGGCUUCGGCUGUCACUUAUGGAUGGACCCGCGUCGCAUUAGCUAGUUGGUGAGGUAACGGCUCACCAAGGCAACGAUGCGUAGCCGACCUGAGAGGGUGAUCGGGCACACUGGGACUGAGACACGGCCCAGACUCCUACGGGAGGUAGCAGUAGGGAAUCUUCCGCAAUGGACGAAAGUCUGACGGAGCAACGCCGCGUGAGUGAUGAAGGCUUUCGGGUCGUAAAACUCUGUUGUUAGGGAAGAACAAGUGCUAGUUGAAUAAGCUGGCACCUUGACGGUACCUAACCAGAAAGCCACGGCUAACUACGUGCCAGCCGCCGCAGUAA